rnacentral:rRNA from 1 species
UACGGAGGGAGCUAGCGUUGUUCGGAAUUACUGGGCGUAAAGCGCACGUAGGCGGCUAUUCAAGUCGGGGGUGAAAGCCCGGGGCUCAACCCCGGAACUGCCCUCGAAACUAGAUAGCUAGAAUCUUGGAGAGGCGAGUGGAAUUCCGAGUGUAGAGGUGGAAUUCGUAGAUAUUCGGAAGAACACCAGUGGCGAAGGCAGGCAGCUGGGGUUGUGCCGACGCUGAGACACGAAAGCCAGGGGAGCGAACGGG